rnacentral:rRNA from 1 species
GCCAACACUAGCCCCAAACAUAACCAACACUAAUAACAAACCAACACACACUAAACCAUUUACCUAUGCAAAGUAUAGGCGAUAGAAAUUUUAAUCUGGCGCUAUAGACAUAGUACCGCAAGGGAAAGAUAGAAAACCACCCAAGCACAAAACAGCAAGGACUAGCCCCUGUACCUUUCGCAUAAUGGAUUAGCUAGAAACAAUUUUACGAAGAGAACUAUAAGCCAAAUCCCCCGAAACCAGACGAGCUACCCAAAAACAGCUAAAAGAGCGCACCCAUCUAUGUGGCAAAAUAGUGGGAAGAUUUUUGGGUAGAGGUGACAAGCCUACCGAGCCUGGUGAUAGCUGGUUAUCCAAGACAGAAUCUUAGUUCAACCUUAAGCUUACCUACAGAACCUCCUAAUCCCCCUGUAAGCUUAAUUGCUAGUCUAAAGAGGGACAGCUCUUCAGACACUAGGAAAAAACCUUAUAGAGAGAGUAAAACCCAUCAACUGCCAUAGUCGGCUUAAAAGCAGCCAUCAAUUAAGAAAGCGUUCAAGCUCAACAUUAACAAUCUCAAAAAUACCAAACACAUAACUGAACUCCUCACAUCACAUUGGAUUAAUCUAUCACCAUAUAGAAGCAAUAAUGCUAAUAUAAGUAACAUGAAUACUUUCUCCACUGCAUAAGCCUAAAUCGGACCGAAAGCCUCACCGACACUUAACAGCCAGGCACAGCAAACACAAACAAGCCCAUGCUACCUUCACUGUUAACCCAACACUGGCAUGCCUCAAGGAAAGGUUAAAAAAAGUAAAAGGAACUCGGCAAACUCAAACCCCGCCUGUUUACCAAAAACAUCACCUCUAGCAUUACUAGUAUUAGAGGCACUGCCUGCCCGGUGACACACGUUUAACGGCCGCGGUACCCUGAC